rnacentral:lncRNA from 1 species
GAGUGUUUAACUAGAAUAAUGAGAAAGGUGAGAGGCUUGGGUUUUCUCUGCCUAUAAAAACCACACUUAGAACUCUUUUCUUCUUUCUCAUGGCUUUACUGCAGUAUAUACACUUGCUUUUUUUAAGUAGUACAGCACCCUAAUUUAAGGGCUGACAACCUAAUCAUAUGUGAUUGAUAAGCUUAUUUUGGGUGAGUUACCAGAAUGCACACUGGAAAGCUCUUCUUUUUGGUGUGUGGAAGCAGCUCCUGCAGUGCAGCAGUGCAGGACGUGGUGCUCCUGCAGCAGCCAGGACUGUCAGCAAGCAGCAAUAAAGCCAUCGUCCUGCAGCAGGAGAGAUGCUGCUCAGAGAAGGACUGCAGCUGAAGGUUUUGAAAGGUCUUGUAUAACACAUACUGAGCUUUUCUCAGCUUUUCUUCAUUACGUGAUAAAUGGUGUCAAGGAGGUUCCUAAUUCCUGGUUGCUUAAACCCCAGUUAUCUCUUCUUUAAAGUUUCUGUGUGAUGCUGCUCAGCAGCAGCAGCGCAGAGGAGGUAGAGUCGCACAGUUUGGGUGCCAGGCUCACUGCAGAUGUGUCACUGCUCAUCCAUCCCAUCUCGCACACAGGACAAUAUUUGUGACAUGGCUUUGUCUCCUCACAGAGCAGCCAGCACUGGAACGCUGGGCACGGCUCCUCCUGCUGAGGGAAGCAGCCCGUGAAAAUGAAGGAACUGUCUCAAAAUAGUCAAGGCUUGCUGCUCCAAGGCCUUGCAGAAGGCAUGGAACGUGCUUUGUUACCCGACAUCCAUUCUUUGAAUACACAGCGAGAAAUCCACGGUACGAGGAGGAGAUGGAGCAGUACUGGGGCUGCUGCUGCAGCACGGAUUGCUGCGCUAUGUCGUGGGUUUCUGUACUUCAAAAUAGAUACAAGAAGUUUGGAAAGGCUCGAGGAAAAUAAAGGCUAUAGUGAUCUGAGGUCUGAAAAACAUGUCUUUGAAAGCAAGGAUGAAGAGCUGAUCAUUGCUACCAAGCAGUUGUGUGGGAAAGGCUUCUGAUGCCAUUGAGAUUCUUUAG